rnacentral:rRNA from 1 species
GAUGAACGCUGGCGGCGUGCCUAAUACAUGCAAGUCGAGCGAAUGGAUUAAGAGCUUGCUCUUAUGAAGUUAGCGGCGGACGGGUGAGUAACACGUGGGUAACCUGCCCAUAAGACUGGGAUAACUCCGGGAAACCGGGGCUAAUACCGGAUAACAUUUUGAACCGCAUGGUUCGAAAUUGAAAGGCGGCUUCGGCUGUCACUUAUGGAUGGACCCGCGUCGCAUUAGCGAGUUGGUGAGGUAACGGCUCACCAAGGCAACGAGGCGUAGCCGACCUGAGAGGGUGAUCGGCCACACUGGGACUGAGACACGGCCCAGACUCCUACGGGAGGCAGCAGUAGGGAAUCUUCCGCAAUGGACGAAAGUCUGACGGAGCAACGCCGCGUGAGUGAUGAAGGCUUUCGGGUCGUAAAACUCUGUUGUUAGGGAAGAACAAGUGCUAGUUGAAUAAGCUGGCACCUUGACGGUACCUAACCAGAAAGCCACGGCUAACUACGUGCCAGCAGCCGCGGUAA